rnacentral:tRNA from 1 species
GCCUGGCUGGCUCAGUUGGUAGAGCAUGCAACUCUUGAUCUCAGGGUUUGUGAGUUCAAGCCCCAUGUUGGGCA